AGAGGCCGUACGUGCUCUCGGCGUGAUCGAAGGGCACGAGGCGCUCGUCGCAGAAGCCCAGCGUCCAGCGCGCUAAGCUAGCUGGCCCGGCAGGGGCGACGGCGGCGGGUAGCUCGCGGGCUAGCAUCGAGACGAGGCUCCCGCCCGACAGGCCGAGCGCGAAACGGGCGCGGGCCCCUGCCAGGCAGCAUGCUGCGCGCUGGGCCACCAGCUGCGCUAGCGCCGCACCCAGCUCCUGGGAACUCGAGAACACCGAGAUGAGGCCCGGGGCCGGCGCGGCCAUGGCGAGGGCGGCGGCGGGGAGGAGGAAGCGCUCCCUACGGCCGUCGCUAGUACGCCUGCGCAAGGGCCGGCCCUGCCGCUUGGUUUCGAGUACUUUGGGUGAUUGUCUUUGGCACAUGCGCAGUGAGGCAAGUGAAGCACCGCGAAGGUCGGGCAGUCGGUCCGGCCCUACCCAUUGAAUCUUUGCCUGCUGUGCCUGAGUCGAAGUGAGUUCGGGAAGCCAGUGCCCGAAUGCUCAACCUUGCUGUAUCAGGGAGGGCCGGAGAGGGGAGCUCAAGAAGAGGACGUCCUAUCGAGGUGGCAGGGAUUUUCUGAAGGAGGGCGUAUUUUGGUGAGUUUUAAAAUUCCUGCACCGCCGGGCGCGGUGGCUGACGCCUGUAAUCCCAACACUUUGGGAGGCCGAGGCGGGCGGAUCACGAGGUCAGGAGAUCGAGACCAUCCUGGCUAACACGGUGAAACCCCGUCUCUACUGAAAACACAAAAAAUUAACCGGGCGUAGUGGCGGGCGCCUGUAGUCCCAGCUACUCGGGAGGCUGAGGCAGGAGAAUCGCUUGAACCGGGGUGGCGGAGGUUGCAGUGAGCCGAGAUCGUGCCACUGCACCCCAGCUUGGGCGACAGAGCGAGGCUCCAUCUCAAAAAAAAGUAGGGGAUGAAAAUAUGCUUGUUGAAUUUUUUUUUUUUUUUUUUUUACAUUUUCCGGACGGACGGGCUCUUGCUAUAUGGUCUAGGCUGAUCUUGAACCCCUGGGCUCAAGCGAUCUUCCUGCCUCGGCCUCCCAAAGUGGUAGCAUUCAGGCGAAAGCCACUGCGCCUGGCCAUGCUUGUUGAAUUUUUUAAGCUAACCCUCCUAGUGUGGUGGUGUGUCCCUCUGAGUGCCCAGAAAGGCCUCCAAUCGAGUUCUUGCCUGGACAGAGGGCUGGAAGGGGAAGAAGGCCUGGUGGGCCUGGGGAGGCUGGGCCACUUCUGAGAGUGGGAUAUUUCAGUGAUGUGUGUAAGCGCAGUUCAACUCACACAGGUAGUGGAUUUUAAAAUCAGUAGCAAAUUAAGAAAACAAUUCCAUUUACCAUAGCAUCAUAAAGUAUAAAGUAGGCAUAAAUUUAAUAAAAGAAGUACAAGACUGUACUUCUUGAGAGCUGUAGCUGGGCUUGGUGGCUCACAGCUGUAAUCCCAGCACGUUGGGAAGCCAAGGCUGGACCCGGUGGCAGCUGCCUGUGGUCCCAGCUACUUGGGAGGCUGUGGUGGGAGGAUCACUUGAGCCCAGGAGACUAAGGCUGCAGUGAGCUGUGUUCCUGCCAUUCCACUCCAGCCUGGGCAAUAGAGUGAGACCCUGUCUCGAAACAAGCAAAAGAACUAAAACUUUGGUGAAAAAAAAAAUUAAAGAUGAUCUAAAUAAAUGGUAAGACAUUCCACGUUCAUGGAUUGGAAAGUAUAAUAUUGUUAAGAUGGCAGUACUCCACAAAUUGGUCUACGGAUGCAAUGUAAUCCCUUUCAAAUUUACAAUGUUUUUGUUGAAAUUGACAAAUUGAUCCUAAAAUUAAUAAUAAAUUGCAAAUGGCCCCAAAAUAGCCAAAACAAUAUUGAAUAAAAUACGAGGACUCAUACUUUCUCAUUUCAAACAAUAAAAAGGUACAAUAACCAAAACUGUGGUAUUGGCAUAAGGAUAGACAUAUAAAUAAAUGAUUGGAACUGAUGCAGAAAUAAACCUAUGCAUAUAUGGUCAACUCAUCUUUGGCAACGGUGCCAGGACUAUUCAAAAAGAAAGGAGGGCUGGGCGUGGUGGCUCACGCCUGUAAUUCCAGCACUUUGAGAGGCCAAGGCAGGUGGAUCACCUGAGGUCGGGAGUUUAAGAUCAGCCUGACCAACAUGGAGAAACCCUGUCUCUACUAAAAAUACAAAGCCUUAGCUGGGCGUGGUGGCACAUGCCUGUAAUCUCAGCUACUCGGGAGUCGGAGGCAGGAGAAUGGCUUGAACCCCGGAGGUGGAGGUUGUGGUGAGCUGAGAUCACGCCAUUGCACUCCAGCCUGGGCAACGAGCAAAACUCUGUCUCAAAAAAAAAAAAAAAAAAAAAGGAAUAGGCCAGGCGUGGUGCUUCACGCCUGUAAUCCCAACACUUUGGCAGGCCAAGGUAGGCAGAUCACCUGAGGUGAGGAGUUCGAGACCGGCCUCUCAAAUGAAGUAGAAACCCCAUCUCUACUAAAAAUACAAAAAUUAGCCAGGCGUAGUAGCUCAUGCCUGUAAUCCCAGCUAUUCGGGAGUCUGAGGCAGGAGAAUGGCUUGAACCCGGGAGGCAGAGGUUGCAGUGAGCCAAGAUCGCGCCACCGCACUCCAGCCUGGGCGACAGAGCAAGACUCCCUCUUAAAUAAAUAAAUAGGCCGGGCGCGGUGCCUCACGCCUGUAAUCCCAGCACUUUGAGAGGCCGAGGCGGGUGGAUCACGAGGUCAGGAGAUCACGACCAUCCUGGCUAACACGAUGAAACCCUGUCUCUAGUAAAAAUACAAAUUAGCCAGGUGUGGUUGCAGGCGCCUGUGGUCCCAGCUACUUGGGACGCUGAGGCAGGAGAAUGGUGUGAACCUGGGAGAAGGAGCUUGCAGUGAGCCGUGAUCUCGCCACUGCACUCCAGCCUGGGCAACAGAGCUAGACUCUGUCUCAAAACAAUAAAUAAAUAAAUAAAUAAAUAAAUAAAUAAAUAAAACCCAAAAAGUCUGUUAAUUAAUAAGAAAAACUAACAGAGUUCAAGCCUAAGAGUCAUUGGGAUUAUUUUCUGGCCAACUUGGAGGGAACUUCCUAGACACUAUUGCAGCUAGAGGCUUUGGAACAAGAAAGUUCACUGGGCCACUGUCUCACCUGGAGCCCCUGGCAAUGAGUCCAUUCCCCUUCUUGUGCCUCAGUUUCUGCAUCUGUACAAUGGGGACCAUGGUGACACUUCCUGAAGUGGUUGCGAGGUUGGAGAGAGAUUAGUCAGAAUUCACUUGCCCAGCUGGGUGCCAUGGCUCACGCCUGUAAUUCCAGCACUUUGAGAGGCCAAGGUGGGUGGAUCACCUGAGGUCGGGAGUUUGAGACCAGCCUGGCCAACAUGGUGAAACCCUGUCUCUACUAAAAAUACAAAAAUGAGCUGUGUGUGGUGGCACGUGCCUGCAAUCCCAGCUACUGAGGAGGCUGAGGCAGGAGAAUUGCUUGAACCCAGGAGGCGGAGGCUGCAGUGAGUCAGAUUGUGCCACUGCACUCCAGCCUGGGCGACAGAGCAAGACUCCGUCUCAAAAAAACCAAAAAGCAAAAAACAAAACAAAAAAAUUCACUUGCUCAUCUGCACACGAGGGUCACCCCCUCAGUGUCCUCUCCCAGCAAAUGCUCUGUCACCUCCUGUCCCCUGAGGUAGAGACAACAAACAAGAUGCCAACAUUAUGACACGCGAGGGGGACAGCAGAGGUGAGAGUCAGUUGAGAGUACAGUAGUCCCUGCUUAUUCAAAGUUUCUCUUUCUGAGGUUUCCACAGUUCAAACAUAUUAAAUGGAGAAUUCCAGAAAUAAGCAAUUCAUAAGUUUCAAAUUGCGUGCUGUUCUGAGGAGCAUGAUGAAAUCUCGGACUGCCUUGCUCCAUCCCUCUCUGUCCCGCCCAGGGUCAUGAAUCACCCCUUUGUCCAGCAGAUCCAUGCUGGAGACACCACUCCCCCCAUGCCCACUCAUUUGUCACUUAGUAGCCUCCUGGUUAUGAGAUUGAAAAACCAGUAUAAACUGGGCACGGUGACUCACACCUGUAAUCCCAGCACUUUGGGAGGCCAAGGCAGGAGGAUGGCUUCAGCCCAGGAGUUCAAGACCAGCCUGGGCAAUACAGUGGGACCUCAUCUCUGCAAACAAAUCAAAAAAUUAGCUGGGCGUGAUGGUGCAUAUCUGUAGUCUCAGCCACGCAGGAGGCUGAUGGAGGAUUGCUGGUGCGCGCACCACCAUGCCUGGCUACUUUUUGUAUUCCCUCCCUCCCUCCCUCUCCUCUCCUCUCUCGCUCUUUCCCUCCCUCCCUCCCCCUUUCUCUCUUUCUUUCUAUUUUGAACCAGAGUCUCGCUCUGCCACCCAGGCUGGAGUGCACUGCAACCUCUGCCUCCUAGGUUCCAGCAAUUCUCCUGCCUGAGCCUCCCGAGUAGCUGGAAUUAAAGGUGUGAGCCACCAUGCCCAGCUAAUUAUUUUGUUUGUAUUUUUAGUAGAGACAGGGUUUCACCAUGUUGGCCAGGCUGGUCUCGAACUCCUGGGCUCAAGUGAUUCACCCACCUCAGCCUCCCAAAGUGCUGGGAUUACAGGCAUGAGCCACUAUGCCCGGCUGGCCGAGUCCUGCCUUCUGAAACUCAGC
rnacentral:lncRNA from 1 species